CUUCCAAACAGAAAUCAGGAGUGACCACAAAGCCUGACAACACUUUGCCACCCAGCAAGAACUGGCACAAUUGGUUUGGGUCUGCAUUGCCAUAGUGCCCGAGUUAAAACUACAGGCCACUCCACCUUGCAAACAUCACGUGGCCUCUGAUUUCAUUGUGGGUGCAUCCACAGGUGGCCCUAGCUCUUUUUUCAGCUGCUCCGAGGAUUGGGACCCAAGUCAUCAUGAAAAAGGCCCAGGUACAGUCUUAAUGUGAAAAAUCCACUAGCUAAGACGUUGAGUGCCAAGACCAGCCUUCCAGCCA
rnacentral:lncRNA from 1 species